UACGGAGGGUGCAAGCGUUAUCCGGAUUCACUGGGUUUAAAGGGUGCGUAGGAGGGCAGGUAAGUCAGUGGUGAAAUCUCCAAGCUUAACUUGGAAACUGCCGUUGAUACUAUCUGUCUUGAAUACCGUGGAGGUGAGCGGAAUAUGUCAUGUAGCGGUGAAAUGCUUAGAUAUGACAUAGAACACCAAUUGCGAAGGCAGCUCACUACACAAUCAUUGACGCUGAGGCACGAAAGCGUGGGGAUCAAACAGG
rnacentral:rRNA from 1 species